GGGAAGAAACUGAUAAGUGCUAAUACCACUUUUCACUGACGGUACCUCCAGAGGAAGCACCGGCUAACUCCGUGCCAGCAGCCGCGGUAAUACGGAGGGUGCGAGCGUUAAUCGGAAUCACUGGGCGUAAAGCGCGCGUAGGCGGCGCUGUAAGUCAGACGUGAAAGCCCUCGGCUCAACCGGGGAAUUGCGUUUGAUACUGCAGUGCUUGAGUAUCGGAGAGGAUGGCGGAAUUCCAGGUGUAGGAG
rnacentral:rRNA from 1 species